CGGCCAACUAAAAAUAGAAAACAAUAUAUAUCAGAUAAUAUCAUAAAAUCAACUACAAUACUCAACAUGCGGCAUUUACAAUUACCAUAACCCUUGGUCACAACACCAAGCACAUCAAUGAGGACUCACGCCUCCCCAUCAUACUCAUUUGGGAUAUAGGUUCUUUUCAUUCGAAUUUAUUAACAUAAUUUCAAGAUUCAUUAUCUUUAUUCCUCUUGUGUCGGUACGUGACACUCCGCUCCCCUACUACUAUGUGCCGGAACGUGACACUCCGAUCCCCUAAUUCUACGUGUCGGUUCGUGACACCUGAUCCCCUAAUUCUACGUGUCGGUUCGUGACACCCGAUCCCCUAAUUCUACGUGUCGAUUCGUGACACCCGAUCCCCUAAUUCUACGUGUCGAUUCGUGACACCCGAUCCACUAAUCUCAUUCUAUUAAUUCAUCAAGCCUUCUUUUAUACCAAGGCAUCACCAAUCUCAUUACUUUAGUUCAUCAAGCCUUCUCUUAUACCAAGGCAUCAUCAUUAACAAGGUAAAUUUAUGACUAGAGAUUCAAUAGACUCAUCAUGCUUAUUCAUCACAAUUAUAUAAUCACAUCAUGUAAGCACACAAUUAAGCAUAUAGAAGGUUUUAUAAUACUACCCAACACAUAUCAUUCGCUAUUAAGAGUCUACUACGAAUAACAUAAAAACCAUAACCUACCUCCACCGAAGAUUCGUGAUCAAGCAAGCAAUUUCCCAAAGCUUUGUUCCUCUUCGUUUCCCUCUUCUCUCGAUCGUUCUCUUUCCCUCUCCUUGUUCUUUCGAUUUCAGUACCCAAAUUUAAGAAUUCUAAGUGUUUUGGAACGAGACCCCCUCGACGGUCCGUCGUGCCCAUGAUGAUCCGUCGUGGGAUCCGUCGACCAAGACAGUUUUUCCAGAAAUAAAAUUUGCUGCUCAAAACGACUGAACAGGUCGUUGCAAUAGAUACCAAUUUACCCAUCGUUCAUCCUCGAAGGAUCAAUAGAAGAAAAACAAGGGCGAAAAGGAGUACCUGAAUCUGUAAACAGGUGUGGGUAUCUUUCUUGCAUAUCUGCCUCCUUCUCCCAAGUGGCUUCUUCAACUGGUCGAUUCUUCCAUUGAACUUUGAUGGAUGCAAUCUCCCUUGACCUCAGCUUGCGGACUUCUCUAUCUAAAAUAGCAACAGGCUCCUCCUCAUAAGACAAAUUCUCAUCAAGCAGAACUGAAUCCCAACGAAUAAUGUAGUUUCCAUCCCCAUGGUAUCUUUUCAACAUAGACAUGAAAUACGAGAUGCACUCCUGACAGUCCUGGGGGCAAGGCUAAUUCAUAAGCCACCUCCCUUACUCGCUUAAGUACUUCGAAUGGUCCAAUAUACCUUGGGCUUAGCUUACCUCUUUUCCCACACCGCAUCACCCCUUUUAUGGGCGAAACCUUCAGCAAGACUUGCUCACCCUCCAUGAACUCCAAGUCUCUAACCUUUCGAUCUGCAUAUUCCUUUUGCCUGCUUUGAGCCGCUAAAAGCUUUUCUUGAAUAGAUUUCACUUUCUCUAAUGAAUCCCUCAAAAGAUCAGUACCCCAAGGUCUAACCUCAAAUGCAUCAAACCAACCAAUGGGAGACCUACACCUUCUCCCAUACAAUGCCUCGAAUGGGGCCAUAUCGAUACUUGAGUGAUAACUAUUGUCGUAUGAGAACUCUGCAACGGGUAAGAAGUUAUCCCAAUGACCACCAAAUUCUAUCACACAUGCACGAAGCAUAUCCUCCAACACUUGAAUCGUCCGCUCAGACUGACCAUCGGUCUGAGGAUGGAACGCAGUACUAAGGUCCAACCUAGUACCCAAUUCCGCAUGCAAUGUUUUCCAAAACGUAGAAGUAAACUGCGUACCUCUAUCUUAUAUGAUGGAGAGUGGAACUCCAUACAAUCGAACAAAUUCUGAGAUAUAGAUUUCGGCUAACUUCUCUGCAUUGUAGGUCACCUUGACCAGAAUGAAGUGAGAAGACUUAGUUAACCUAUCAAUGAUUACCCAAAUGGAGUCAUACUUACUCAUUGUCAUUGGAAGACCAAGUACGAAGUCCAUUGCAAUUCUCUCCCACUUCCAUUCAGGAAUGGGCAUCCUCUGAAGUGUUCCUCUGGGCCUCUGGUGUUCAUACUUUACUUGCUGACAAUUUGGACAUUUGGAAACAAAAUCAACAAUGUCGCGCUUCAUUCUACUCCACCAAAAGUGUUGCUUUAGGUCAUGGUACAUCUUGGUUGCACCAGGAUGUAUAGAAUAUCCGGAACUAUGAGCCUCAGUAAGAAUAGUGUAGAUCAAAUCAUCAACACAGGGCACACAUACCCUUCCCUUAAUUCUAAAAACACCUUCCUCAUCCAUUAUUGCUUCUUUAGCCUCUCCUUGCAACACCAUAUCCCGAAUUCGGCUUAGUUUCUCAUCAUCAAACUGUUUUCCCUUGAUCUUGUCAAGAAAAGAAGAUCUCGCCUCCACACUGGCCAAAAAUCCUCCCUUCUCAUUUACUUCUAACCUCAUAAAGUCGUUAGCCAGAGUCUGAACCUCUCUAGCCAAUGGGCGUCUAGAAACUUGUAAGUGGACUAAACUACCCAUGCUCCCUGCUUUUCUACUUAAGGCGUCUGCCACAACAUUAGCCUUUCCUGGGUGAUACAAGAUGGUAACAUCAUAAUCCUUCAGUAGUUCCAUCCAUCUCCUCUGUCUCAAAUUCAAAUCCUUCUGAGUAAAGACAUACUGUAGGCUACGAUGAUCCGUGUAGACUUCACACUUAACUCCAUAUAGAUAGUGCCUCCAUUGCUUUAAUGCAAACACUACCGCAACCAACUCCAAAUCAUGGGUCGGAUAAUUACGUUUGUGCACCUUUAAUUGCCUCGAAGCAUAAGCAAUUACAUUCUUCUCUUGCAUUAGUACUGCACCCAAACCCGAAUAGGAUGCAUCACAAUAGACAAUGAAAUUCUUACCUUCCACUGGCAGGGUAAGGAUUGGUGCAGUAGUCAACAAGGUCUUGAGUUUCUGAAAGCUUUCCUCACAUUUGUCCGACCAUACAAAUGGAACAUUUUGCUUAGUCAAGUUCGUCAAUUGGGAAGCAAUGGAAGAGAAUCACUUGACAAAUCGACGGUAAUAGCUAGCUAAACCAACAAAGCUCCUUAUUUCUGACACAUUAGUAGGUCUUACCCAAUUCUUCACUGUCUCAAUCUUAGAAGGAUCCACCAUCACCCCAUCCUUAGAAACCACAUGCCCCAAGAAGGACACUGUAUCUAGCAAAAACUCACACUUGGAGAAUUUGGCAUAAAGCUUUUUCUCCCUCAACAUUUCCAAUACAAUUCUCAACUGCUCCUCAUGUUCCUUCUUGCUCUUUGAGUAUACCAAUAUAUCAUCAAUAAAUACGAUCACAAAGAGAUCCAGAUAUGGCUUAAAAAUCCCAUUCAUCAAGCUCAUGAAAGCAGCAGGGGCAUUCGUAAGCCCAAAAGACAUUACUAAGAACUCAUAAGGCCCAUACCUGGUCUGAAAAGCAGUCUUGGGCACAUCUGCUGCCCGUAUUUUCAAUUGAUGAUAACCAGAUCUCAAGUUGAUUUUUGAGAAGGUACAAGCACCUUGUAACUGAUCGAACAAAUCAUCAAUGCGAGGAAGAGGAUAAUUGUUCUUAAUCGUUACCUUAUUCAUUUGUCUAUAGUCUAUGCACAUCCGAAAGCUUCCAUCCUUCUUCUUCACAAACAAAACAGGAGCACCCCAAGGGGAUGCACUUGGUCUAAUGAAGCCUUUGCUCAACAACUCUUGAAGUUGGGCCUUUAACUCCCUUAACUCAGCGGGAGUCAUUCUAUAAGGGGGUAUAGUAAUGGGGCGAGUACCCGGUUCAAGAUCGAUGCAGAAGUCAAUAUCUCUAUCCGGUGGCAUACCAGGAAGGUCUGCAGGAAACACAUCUAAGAAAUCGUGGACUAUCGAAACCGACUCAAUUGAAGGUACUUGGGUAGUAUCAUCCCGGAGGUGUGCCAAGAAAGCUAAACAACCCUUACUAACCAUUCUCUUAGCACGAAGAAAGGAGACGAUACGAACCGGAUUGGAAGUGUAGUCACCCUCCCACACUAACAGAUCUGUCCCAGGCUUGGCUAACGUCACAGUUUAGCAUUACAAUCCAAGAUUGCAAAAUUUGGUGAGAGCCAAGUCAUACCCAGAAUUACAUCGAAGUCAACCAUUUCUAAGAUAACCAAGUCUACAUGAGUAUUGCUCCCCACAAAAGUCACAAGACAAGACCUAUACACCUUUUCAACUAUCACAGACUCACCCACCGGAGUAGAAACACGAAUAGGCAUGUCAAGCAAUUCACAAUGUAAAUUAAGACCAUUAGCAAAUGCGGAAGAUACAUAUGAAAAUGUAGAGCCAGGGUAAAAUAAUACAGAAGCCAUACAAUCACAAACCAAAAAAUUACCUGUGAUAACAGCAUCUGAUGUCUCCGCUUCUGACCGCCCGGGGAAAGCGUAAGAAUGGGCCCUAUCACCUGUCUGCCCGUUGCCCCUGCCAUGUUGUGCUGUAGUGGCUCUAGUUUGCCCGUCACCUCGGUCGUUUUGGUGACCACCAUUACCUCGGCCACCACGUCCUCCAGAAUAACGGACUCUACCAUGACCACCUCUACCUCUAGCUGUUGGGGGUCUAUAACUCUGUUUUGGACAAUUCCUCCUAAUAUGUCCAACCUCCCAACAUCCAUAAAACUCUCUUGAGUCAAGCAUAGGUCUCUCAGAGAAGUGUUGACCGGUCUGAGGUGGACCCCCAACUACAGUCUGUAGUGAAGACUGAAUUGGUCGGACUGAGUAACCUCCUAAACCGUGUCCUCUAGAGUAAGCACCAUUUAACAAACCUCCCUUUCGAAACCUUUUUGAUGUCGAUGCCAUGGUGUAGUCAUCUAGCUUCACUCCUUCCACCUCUAUCACGAAGUCUACCACUUCUUGAAAGGAUUUUGCCGUAGCCGCUACCUGUAAGGCUGAAAUCCGUAAUUCUGACCUCAACCCCUUCACAAAACGGCGAGUCCGCUCUUGUGGACUGAAACAAAGUUGGGUGGCAUACCUGGAUAAUGCACGAAACUUAGCCUCAUAUGAAGUAACCGACAUCCUAACAUGCUCUAGGCUCAAGAACUCAUCUCUUUUCCUAUCCCUCAAAGUCCGGGGGAUAUACUUCUCCAUAAACAAGCUAGAGAAUGAUGCCCAAGUCAUAGGUGGUGCCUCUGUUGGUUGACACUCAACAUGUGACCGCCACCACAUUUUGGCGUUCCCUUGAAACUGAUAAGUCACAAACUCAACACCAAACCGUUCUACUAUACCCAUCUUGUGUAGUAGCUCAUGACAGUCAACCAGAAAAUCAUAGGCAUCCUCAGAUUCAGCACCCUUGAAGACUGGAGGUUUCAAUUUCAAGAACUUACUGAAAAAUUCAUGCUGAUCAUUUGUCAUUAUAGGUCCUGUAGUCAGACAAGGAAACGUGCCUAUAUCCAAUGAGGCAUCCAUGCAGGGAGCCACAGUAGCUGCAUGUUGUACCUCCGGAACCUUAGGUGCUGGUGCAGAAAACACUGGAGGUGUCUGGCCCUGAUCAGAUAACCCGCUAAGAUAAGCAAGAACCUAAUUGAUCAUCUCUGGGGUAGGUUGGGGUGGCAAUCCCUCAUUUUGUACUUGUUCAUCCUCCCCUUCCUCACCCUCUCUUACCACUUCCUCAGUCGGUGGAGGAGUCACCGCCCUAGUACCACAUGGGCUAGGUGCUUGUCCUCUUCCUCUAGAGGAAGUCCUCCCACGACCUCUUCCACGGUCCCUUGCCACUACUCCUCUUCGAGCUACAGCCCCAGUGGCUGGCUCAGACGCUUCUUGUCUUGCCGGUGUUGGUGUUGGCGCAGUCGCUGCUCUAGUUCUAACCAUCUGCGAAAUAGAGUGAAGAUGGUCAGAUACCAAUUUGUAUCACCUAGAUACCAAUUGGACCCAAGUAAUAGCACGAAAGAAAGAAAGAAAGAAUGGAAUUUUCCUAAAGUCUUAUAGCCUCUCAAAGAAAAAAAAAGGCGUCCCCCUACUGUUCCUUAAGACUCUACUAGACUCGUUCUUGUGUGAUGAGACCAACGAAUCUAAUGCUCUGAUACCAAGUUUGUCACGACCCAAAUCGAGCCGUGAGUGGCACCCACAUUUAUCCUCCUAUAUGAGCGAACCAACUAAUCUAAACCCCAUCAUUUCAAACAUAAUAGAUAGAAAAACAAUGCGGAAGACUUAAAACUCAUUAACAAAAUCAAUAAUCAACUUCUAAAACUCAAACUUAUCAUUUCCUCAAAAUCUGGAAGUCAUCAUCACAAGAACAUCUAUCCUCAAAUUACUAAAGCUAAGAGUAUCUAAGAAACUAAACAUAAAUAAUAGCUAGUCUAUGCCAGAACUUCAAGGCAUCAAGACAUGAAGAAGAAGAUCCAGUCCAAGCUAGAAGCUUUAGCUCACCCUAAAAUCUGGUGUGACGAAGACUGGCUAGAGUUGCGGUUGAGUUGAAGAUGACGGUACGUUUGCUGCACUCCACAAUGAACAAAAAGAAAACAUACAAGUAGGGGUCAGUACAAAACACGAGUAAUGAGUAGAUAUCAUCGGCCAACUCAAAAUAGAAAAUAGUAUAUAUAUCAGAUAAUAUCAUAAAAUCAACUACAAUACUCAACAUGCGGCAUUUACAAUUACCAUAACCCUUGGUCACAACACCAAGCACAUCAAUGAGGACUCACGCCUCCCCAUCAUACUCAUUUGGGAUAUAGGUUCUUUUCAUUCGAAUUUAUUAACAUAAUUUCAAGAUUCAUUAUCUUUAUUCCUCUUGUGUCGGUACGUGACACUCCGCUCCCCUACUACUAUGUGCCGGAACGUGACACUCCGAUCCC
rnacentral:lncRNA from 1 species